rnacentral:rRNA from 1 species
UACGAAGGGGGGCGAGCGUUGUUCGGAUUUACUGGGCGUAAAGGGCGCGCAGGCGGUCCUGUUUGUCGAGUGUGAAAGCCCCGGGCUUAACCUGGGAACUGCGCUCGAAACGGGAUGACUAGAGAUCGGGAGAGGAGAGUGGAAUUCCCAGUGUAGAGGUGAAAUUCGUAGAUAUUCGCAAGAACACCAGUGGCGAAGGCGGCUCACUGGCCCGGUACUGACGCUGAGGUGCGAAAGCGUGGGGAGCAAACAGG